AUUUUACUCGUAUGUACUCGUAUUCUACUCGUAUGUACUUGUGUUUUACUCGUAUGUUACUCGUAUGUAUUCGUGUUACUCGUAUGUGCUCGUAUGUUACUCGUAUGUACUCGUAUGUUACUCGUAUGUACUCGUGUGUUACUCGUAUGUACUCGUAUGUACUUGUGUGUUACUCGUAUGUUACUCGUAUGUACUCGUGUGGUGUUUUAGUCACGAUCCUCAUAAUGUACAACGCCAGAAUUUUGUAUGCGUGAUGUUUGUGUUACAAAGUAAAAGGCGUGUCCUCCUAAGUUUAUUG